rnacentral:lncRNA from 1 species
CACGGCGCCGUCUGGCCAAGGUGUCCCAGCUGCUCCUUGGCGCCCCCUGGCCCAGCUCCCGCGCCCGAGGUUUCCGGUGAGCGGCAGUAGCCGGUUAUGACGACUCCCUCCUCUGGAACAGCCGCCGUCUCCUCCGCCUCCUCCUCGGUAGUUCACGGCUGCCCCGGCUCCAGGCCUGUGGAAAUCGAAUCAAGGGUUUCUGGAGUGGAGUGAUUCCAGCUGCUUUGAGCUGAAGGAAAAGUAGCCUGGCCAGUAAAGCGUCCGUGUGCUGGAGGAGUGCAGCCACCCAUCCCGGCGGGCCUUGCAGGACGACCGACACCAGGAAGGCUUUGUGCCAGGCCCAGCAGCCACCCCCAGCCGCCUUAUGCAAGUGGGUACAUGCCCUCGCCAGACGCCAGCUUUCUGAUCUGCGUCUUUAGAUUUUUUCCAUCGCCUAAGCGUUACUUCUCCACUGAUCGGUGAGUUUAGUGAUGGCCAG